AGAGAAUCCCCCCCUCAACAUUUACUGGCUCUGUAACCUCAAGUUCUGGAAGCAGACAGCCUUGAUUCCAUUCCUGACUCCUCCUCUACUUACUGGUGAGGAGAACAUGGCCAACCUAUGGAAUGACAAACAGCACCUUAUUUUCUCAUCUAUAAAGUGGGGAUGGUAAUAGUGCCUACGUCUGAGAAUUAACACUCAGCCAUUUCCAGCCUAUACUUUUACUCUCCAGUUGGACUACCAAAUCAAUGACAGUCAUAUUCUCCAGGCAAGAUACUGGAAGACUUCUACAUGAGUAAUCUAAGC